rnacentral:lncRNA from 1 species
GUCACACACAUUAAAGGUUCCUAUAUGAUCUGAUGGCUGGUGAAGAGUCCCACUAGACUGGAACUCUUCGACCAAGAGUCCUAAUGCUUGGAGACUUUGAGUCCUACGUAUCUGAGACUCUGUGAUCGAGAAUCAGGAUUCUCUGAUCAUGAGUUCCACACAUUUUGGGUACCGGGGUCAAGAGUCCCACUGGUUUGGGAC